rnacentral:rRNA from 1 species
AGAGUUUGAUCCUGGCUCAGGACGAACGCUGGCGGCGUGCUUAACACAUGCAAGUCGAGCGGUAAGGCUCCUUCGGGAGUACACGAGCGGCGAACGGGUGAGUAACACGUGAGUAAUCUGCCCUUCACUUCGGGAUAACCACCGGAAACGGUGGCUAAUACCGAAUACGACCAGCCUUCGCAUGAGGUGCUGGUGGAAAGUUUUUUCGGUGAAGGAUGUGCUCGCGGCCUAUCAGCUUGUUGGUGAGGUAACGGCUCACCAAGGCUUCGACGGGUAGCCGGCCUGAGAGGGUGACCGGCCACACUGGGACUGAGACACGGCCCAGACUCCUACGGGAGGCAGCAGUGGGGAAUAUUGGACAAUGGGCGAAAGCCUGAUCCAGCAACGCCGCGUGAGGGAUGACGGCCUUCGGGUUGUAAACCUCUUUCAGUAUCGACGAAGCGCCCUGUCGGGUGGUGACGGUAGAUACAGAAGAAGGACCGGCCAACUACGUGCCAGCAGCCGCGGUAAUACGUAGGGUCCGAGCGUUGUCCGGAAUUAUUGGGCGUAAAGGGCUCGUAGGCGGUUUGUCACGUCGGAAGUGAAAUCUUACAGCUUAACUGUGAACUUGCUUUCGAUACGGGCAGACUUGNNNCAUUCNNGGGAGAACGGAAUUCCUGGUGUAGCGGUGAAAUGCGCAGAUAUCAGGAGGAACACCGGUGGCGAAGGCGGUUCUCUGGGAAUGUACUGACGCUGA